CUUACGGAGGAAGCAGCAGGGCGCGAAACCUUUACAAUGCACGUAGGUGUGAUAGGGGGAAUUCAGAGUGCUUACACACAGUGUAGGCUUUUGCCAAGAGUAAAUAUCUUGGAGAAUAAGUAGUGGGUAAGACUGGUGCCAGCCGCCCGCGGUAACACCAGCGCCACAAGUGGGAAUCGAUUUUAUUGGGCUUAAAGCGUUCGUCAGCUGGUCUUGUAAAUCUUUUGUGAAAUCGUUGCCCUCAAUGCAACGACGUGCGGAGGACGCUGCAAGACUUGGAGCCGGGAGGGGUCAGAAGUAUGCCAGGGGGAGCGGUAAAAUGUUAUAAUCCCCUGGUAGACUACCUUUGGCGAAGGCGUCUGACUAGAACGGGUUCGACAGUGAGGAACGAAAGCUGGGGGAGCGAUCCGGAUUAGAUACCCGAGUAGUCCCAGCCGUAAACGCUGUGAACUAGAUGUCGCGUAUUCUUCAGUGAAUAUGCGGUGUCGAAGCGAAAGUGUUAAGUUCACCGCCUGGGAAGUAUAGUCGCAAGACCGAAACUUAAAGGAACGGCGGG
rnacentral:rRNA from 1 species